rnacentral:rRNA from 1 species
AGAGUUUGAUCCUGGCUCAGGAUGAACGCUGGCGGCGUGCUUAACACAUGCAAGUCGAACGAAGAUGCCGGAGUGCUUGCACUUUGGCAGACUGAGUGGCGGACGGGUGAGUAACGCGUGGGUAACCUGCCUUAUACAGGGGGAUAACAGUUGGAAACGACUGCUAAUACCGCAUAAGCGCACGGUAUCGCAUGAUACAGUGUGAAAAACUCCGGUGGUAUAAGAUGGACCCGCGUCUGAUUAGCUAGUUGGUGAGGUAACGGCCCACCAAGGCGACGAUCAGUAGCCGGCCUGAGAGGGUGAACGGCCACAUUGGGACUGAGACACGGCCCAAACUCCUACGGGAGGCAGCAGUGGGGAAUAUUGCACAAUGGGGGAAACCCUGAUGCAGCGACGCCGCGUGAGUGAUGAAGUAUUUCGGUAUGUAAAACUCUAUCAGCAGGGAAGAUAAUGACGGUACCUGACUAAGAAGCACCGGCUAAAUACGUGCCAGCAGCCGCGGUAAUACGUAUGGUGCAAGCGUUAUCCGGAUUUACUGGGUGUAAAGGGUGCGUAGGUGGUAUGGCAAGUCAGAAGUGAAAGGCUGGGGCUCAACCCCGGGACUGCUUUUGAAACUGUCAAACUAGAGUACAGGAGAGGAAAGCGGAAUUCCUAGUGUAGCGGUGAAAUGCGUAGAUAUUAGGAGGAACACCAGUGGCGAAGGCGGCUUUCUGGACUGAAACUGACACUGAGGCACGAAAGCGUGGGGAGCAAACAGGAUUAGAUACCCUGGUAGUCCACGCCGUAAACG